AAGAGAUUGCAAACACCAAACAAAAUUUCAUGCGGGAGAAAUAUGGAUGGAUGCAGAGAACAAAGGUUUCCUACACGUAUUGAACCAGCCAACAAUCAUUCCCUUCCCUUCUGGGAAAAUCUUUGGAUGGAUCUACCUUACCUAAUAAAUUCCCAUAAAAUAAUAAUUCUGGUUUUUGGUGAAAGUUUCUUGCAGGGUAUAUAUAAUUCAAGAGCCAAAUUAAGGACAUUUUGGGCGAGUAUCAACUAUGAAAUUCAUUUUAGGAGCUUAAUUAAUUACCUUAUCCUGUAGUGCAGAAAAUGGGGAAGAAAGUGGAUGGAAACAACAUCUGGUUUCUGUUUGGCAAACAAAAAGGCUUAAAUGGAUAACACAAGGGCAGCUUUCGGACCGGCAGCGGUGGAUGUAAUAAACAUCCAAGAUAACGGCGGAUCAAGCUCCAACUCCAAGUACAUGUGGGGAGGAUUUGGAGUAGGAGUAGUUUUGGUGGCUAUAAUAUUCAUGUUAUUCAAGAGCGCCUAAAAUCGGGUUUUUUUUUUUUGCAACUUUUCUUGCAAGGGCGGUUGCCAGGUCACCUCCUCCAAGACUUGUAAUAAUGUGUGAAAUGCCUGCAAUAACUUCAUACUUGUGCUUUUGUAAAUGAGUUUUACUUUUGGAGAAACGGUAAUAUUUGAGGUUGGCCAGUUUAUCUUCUUCUUGUUGAUUAUAUGGUAAUGGAAAAAUAAUUUAUUAUUAUCAUGU